rnacentral:sRNA from 1 species
UUGUAGUGCAGCGAGUUGAGCUCUUCUUGCCUAAGUGGUCGCGCCCCCUUUAAGAGCAGCGAUUGUAAGGAGAGGCAGUCCCGGUGUCCUCGGGUCCCAGGUGAUUGUGAAGUGCUGACCAAUUGCCACUGGACAUACUUGAAACAAAAUAGGAAAAUGGCAGCAAACUCUUCAGGACAAGACAAGGUCUCGCUGUGUUGCCCAGGCUGAUCUUGAACUCCUGGCCUCAGGUGAUCCUCCUGCCUCAACUUCCCAAAGCACUAGGAUUACAAAUGUUUUCAAAACAAAAAUAGAGUUGCAAUCUUGGCAGAACUGGACAAAGAGAAAAGAAAACUACUUAUGCAGAACCAGUCUUCAACAAAUCAUCCUGGAGCUAGCAUGCUCAUGCACAUUCAUCUGGAUACUUCAUCACUCAAGACUCUGCAUUUGGGAACCUUAUUCUUCCUGUUUUACCUCGCCUUGACCCAGAAUGAAGAAAACAUUUGCGAUGGAAAAGUGACUUUGUAAUAUCAGAUGCCAAAGCUACUAUCAUUCAGUGCUACAUGAACUGUGACUUUAAGAAUUUUGAUGAACUUUGAUAUUUUUGUUUGUCUGAAAGAAAGGAAUGUGUAAGUGAAAGCUGAAAGAAGAAUAACCAGGAUGAUGAGAGCUGUGGAAGCUGUAUCGUCCAAGAAAUUGAUUAUGUACCGUGACUGUAACUUUUUUGUAAUGCUGUUUAACUCUCAAUCAGACUCUGAACUGGAUGGUCACGAAGUCAUUCCCCAACUCCUAGCAAGUUUGACUGAAUAUAUCAUGUCCACAGUAGAUUUUCAAGAAUCAUUUAUAGUACUUAACUUUAAAGAAACAAGGCUGCUUUUAAAAAAUGAACUAAUAGGCUU